ACCACAAUGCUUGUUAAUACAUUAUACACAAAUCUAACAGAAUGUUUGAAUUCUCUGGUUGUAUUCACAGUAGGGUCACAUCAUUCGUGCAAUCAUACAUCUGCCUAGGUAAUAAUCUCAUCUCAUGUUCAUUCUGUCUAUUUAUCUACUUGUUUUUCAUGGGUGUGUUACAGAUAUCCAUGGAGCUACAAUUCACUGUGGUCAUUUAGUGUCUGUCCCCAUGUGAAUGGUGACAUUGUCUCACACUGUUUCCAGGCCUGUGUCCUCCUCAGUGAAAGUGGGGUCUCUGGUGUAUGAAAGUCACCAGUGUCCUCACCAUCCAAGGGACAUGUUCCAGACUAGGCUGAGGCCAGGGAGGCGUUGGACUUGGGGCCAAGUGUAAGGAGCUCCCCAAUGUGGGUAUUUUCAUGAAUUUUAUUUUAAUGUAAUAUUUUUAAAAAGUUAAAAUUUAUGCAAAAUAAUUCAAUAUGAAAAAAGUAAGAAAUUUAAAAAACUAAUGGAUCUAUCUUAAGAAUGAAGACUUAUCAGUAAAUUAUUGGUUUGUAAUGUGGCGAUCUGUAUUUGGAAAUUACUUUGGUCUGUGAAUUGUCCUUUUUCUGUCACCAGGUGUACUUGACCAGGGUUGCAGUGUGUAGUGAAGGAACAUGGGAUGGGAUGCCACCAGAGUAGUUAAAAACCAUCUCAUCAGCAGACAGAAAGCUGUGCAGUGCACAGAGAAACCUGUGGCAUUUCAUGACCUUGGCUGUCAGGAGAGUGUCCCCAUGAGGGCAGAGCCCUAGGAAUCUAGUUUCAUGGACCAAGAACACCUCCUGAACACACAUGUUCUGUCUGAGCCUGUUUUCUACAUGUAUGAUGAAGACAAAUGUCAGGCAGGGGUCUGGCUCCUCAUAGCUCUGUACCCUGAGAACAAAAGCAGUUCCUCAGCUUGGCUCUGAUCACAGGAGGGCCCCCUGAAGAGGAAGGCUGCUGAGCCACCUUCCUGGAAGCACGCAGUGCCUGAGAGUGGCCAGCAGAGGGCAGCACAGAAUCCUCUAUUUCCAGGUCAACUUCAGAUUCUCCAGGCGUGCUGGGAGCACAGAAGAGGUGUCUGCACCAUGUGUGUAUCAUGCUCAGGAGCUGGAGAGAGCAGGGGACACCAGGUCAUUGCUCCGGAUAAAAAGAUGGACUUUGGAACUGUUACAGACUCUACUUUUGCAGAUUAAAUGCCAGUAAUUAUCAUUUUCUUUAUUGAUCUUCUCAAAUUCAGGUGGGUCAAGUUUGAGCACACCAGGUGGUGUCAGGUUAGGCACCAUGGAGCCAUGUAACCUCAGAAUCAUUGCUCUGGAGUGUCCUCUUACCUGAAUGUCUCAGAGCCAGUCCCUUGCUCCUUCUGGAAUACUGUCUCACAUCAGUUGACCUCAGCUGCCUCAUCCUGGAGGAUAGACGUGCUCAUCCUUCACGUGGACACAGCACACAUGGACAGAAUGGGGGCCCAAGGCUCCCCUCCCUCUUCUUCUCCCUCCCCAUCCCCUCUGUCCUCACCAGGGAUCCAGAGCAGCAGCAGCCCCAGGAGCUGAGCAGGGAGCCUCAUUUUGAGAAGCUGAGCUGAGGAGUCCUGCCACUGCAGGCAGUUGAGGCAGCUGUAGAACUUCUGUGUCUGCUGUUAUCUGGAGAAACAGGGGAGUGUCAGGGACAAUGUUCGAUGGCAGCUUUUCCUGGCCUAGUGAAUGCAAUAAGGGCAGAAGAGUCAAAAUAAGGUGGUGGGGAAGGAAGAAGAAACCCUUGUGUCAACUGGAGAUCCAGCAGCCUGUUAAGGCAAUAGGAGAUGUGACAUGUCCACCUGAAUCUGGGUGUGAAAUUCCUGGGAACAAGAUCUUUAAAGUCGUGAACAUACUGUCUUCGUCAUCUUCAUGUGUGUGAUACUCAGAGUCUUCCCAUCACUUCCUCAGGGAAGAACCCCUUGAGGCCACUGGACAGAAUGGACAAGGGGGAGCAUUCUAGGUGCUUGUGAGGACAAGGUGAUGUCCCAGUUUCCAGGCUCCCUGGCAGUGUCUGCAGGAGACAUGGUCACCAUCAGCUGCAAGUCCAGCCAGAGUCUCUUAUCCAACCACAAGGACUACAUGGCCUGGCACCAGCAGAAGCUAGGACAGGUCCCAGGCUGCUGAACUCCUGGGCAUCCAUGUGGGCAGCUGGGGUCCCCUGGAGGUUCAGGGGCAGUGGGUCAGGGACAGAUUUCCCUCUCCAUCAGCAGCCCCAGGCUGAGGACAUGGCUGAUUGUUCCUAUAGCAGCACCGCAGUGGGUUCUUGGGGAUUGCCUAGGUGAGGAUGCUGGGUUAUUGGUGGCUGUUGGUCAAAGGCUAUUGUAGGACCCUGCAGGCCACCAAAAGGUCCUACCAUCUGGGCUGCUCAGUAAUGCGACCAGUAUAAAGAAUCCUUCCACCAGAGUGAGAGGCUGACUCCCUUUUAAGGGCUCUGAUGUGAAUCAAUCAGGCUCACCCAGAAUAAUCUCCUUUUGACUGACUUAAAAUGAACUGCCUUGGCAUGUUAAUUAUAUCUGCAUAAUAAUCCCUUCACCUUUCCAAUAUUUCUGAAACCAAAAGCAAACCUCAUAUUCUGUCAACUGUGCCCAUAUCUGUGGAUUAGUGAGUGUGAACAUCAGCUAGUAGGUGUCUUGAGGAGGGAAUAUUUCUUAUAAUAUUGAUAUUUUAAAAAAUUAUUUCUCCAAAAUAGUCCCUGUGAGAAGACCAUUAAGAAUAGAAGCUACUUUAGGUGAUGAGCAUCAGAAAUGUACCUUCAGGUGAUUUCUUACCCAGUUUCCCAGGUCCUCGUGUUUCUCAGAUUCUUGUCAAGUGAGAGAAAAUUCAGAUUAUCUAUUGCUUUAGGAACAAAUAUAAACACAUGAGGAACAAGUAAUGUAAUCAUAGGACUCUCAAUAUUUUUAAUAGUAAAGAAAUAAGAAAAGUUUAAUAUCCAUAGCCCAGUUUCUCUUUCAACAAACUAAUAAAAGAAGAGGUGACCAAACCCAAAUCAAGCCAAAUCAAGGAAAUCAAAUUAUAAAUACCAAAUCCUGAAAGAGUUUCUCAAGAUGGUCUUGGGUCAGAGGAAGGCGGCACUGUCCACCUGCCCCUCAGCUCAAGACUGUCAAUGUGAAGCUGUAACUUUCCUUGGGGACUCUGCCUCAUAGCUGCUCUGGGAGCUGCACCUCCCCUGUGAGCACUCUGCAACCUACAGGAUCCUGUACUGUGAGACAGAGCUGAGAGCUGCUGCAACCAGCUUUGGCUGAACUUUUCCUGAAUUUCAUGAUUUUACAACUUUUGGAGAGCUCACAAAGCUGUUUUGGAGAAUGUCUGACAAUUAGGAUGUUUGUCUACCACUCAUGGUAGAGUUUAGCUGCUGCAUCUCUGGCAGGGAUAUCUAGAAAUGAUGCUCUUCUGUUAGGGCUCCCUAGUGGGUGGUGCCUGAUUUCAAUCUGUCUCACUACUGCAGAUGUUCACAUUGAUUCCUGGGUUAAAGGAAUGUUCCAGACUUCUCUUUUGUAGUGCCUCUUUGGCUAUUUGAAAUGAACAUGUGGCUGGGGUGUGACUAAGUGGCAGAGCACUUACCUAGUACGCUCACGGUCCUCUCGAUGAUCCAUCUCAAACAAUAGAGCUCAAAAAGAGUUAACAUGAAAUUGUUGAAAAGUUCCUCAAUCCUUUAUAGAUAUCCCAUUCCUCUUCAAAGUACCAGUAUCAGGCUGAACUCAUGGAUCAUCUUUUGUUUAAUGGGCUAGUCUGUCCUAAUUACAAAUCUUGACUCUCAAGAUUAUCCAGACCUGGCCAGUGAGAGGCUCCUUCCUGGUAAUUUCUCUUUCCUUUUGCCAGGGUCUCAUCAUUUUUGGAGGACUUCUUUUAUUCCCAACUCAAGGUGGUGCAGGGGUUUCUUAUCCUAAGAUUCCUUUAGUGGCAAAUAAAUCUGGGCACUGUGAGUUCGUGUUGGGAGCAUGGGCUAUUGUGCCUGGGUUAAAGAGAAUGUGUAAAUAACUCUGUCAAUCAACCCAUCUAUGGACCAUAACAUCUAUCAUCUCCUGAUAUAUCUGCAUGCACACUCCUAUCUAUUCCUACAUACAAUUCUGAGUUUAUUCUGAUAUUUGUUUCUAGUCAAAAUCGUGUUUGUUCUAGCGAUGUCCCUUUUUGUUUGGGAUCUCUUCCACCUACAGUGAGAAUCCUGGCUCUGAUUGACUCUGGUGCAUUGUUUCCCACCAACAUUUCCCUGACUGAAAGCAACUUCUUGACAUUGGCCUGCCCUCCAUUAGACAGCCUCAUGGCCACUGGUGAAUGUACCUUGAUCCUGCUCUGAUACCCCUUGUCAGGACACAACCCAAUUUACACACAUGUACGGGUGCUGUGUCAAUUGCCUUUUGUCACUUUGAAAAAAACCUGGGGGUAAAACACUUAAG